UACGUAGGGUGCGAGCGUUGUCCGGAAUUACUGGGCGUAAAGAGCGUGUAGGCGGUGCUCCAAGUCUGGUGUGAAAUCUCCCGGCUUAACUGGGAGGGUGCAUUAGAAACUGGAGUGCUAGAGGAUGGGAGAGGUAAGCGGAAUUCCUGGUGUAGCGGUGAAAUGCGUAGAUAUCAGGAGGAACACCUGUGGUGUAGACAGCUUACUGGACCAUUUCUGACGCUGAGACACGAAAGCGUGGGUAGCAAACAGG
rnacentral:rRNA from 1 species